rnacentral:rRNA from 1 species
GACGAACGCUGGCGGCGUGCCUAAUACAUGCAAGUAGAACGCUGAAGAGAGGAGCUUGCUCUUCUUGGAUGAGUUGCGAACGGGUGAGUAACGCGUAGGUAACCUGCCUUGUAGCGGGGGAUAACUAUUGGAAACGAUAGCUAAUACCGCAUAACAAUGGAUGACACAUGUCAUUUAUUUGAAAGGGGCAAUUGCUCCACUACAAGAUGGACCUGCGUUGUAUUAGCUAGUAGGUGAGGUAAUGGCUCACCUAGGCGACGAUACAUAGCCGACCUGAGAGGGUGAUCGGCGACACUGGGACUGAGACACGGCCCAGACUCCUACGGGGGGCAGCAGUAGGGAAUCUUCGGCAAUGGGGGCAACCCUGACCGAGCAACGCCGCGUGAGUGAAGAAGGUUUUCGGAUCGUAAAGCUCUGUUGUAAGUCAAGAACGGGUGUGAGAGUGGAAAGUUCACACUGUGACGGUAGCUUACCAGAAAGGGACGGCUAACUACGUG